rnacentral:rRNA from 1 species
AGUGAACGCUGGCGGUAUGCCUAACACAUGCAAGUCGAACGGCAGCACAGUAAGAGCUUGCUCUUGCGGGUGGCGAGUGGCGGACGGGUGAGGAAUACAUCGGAAUCUACUUUUUCGUGGGGGCUAACGUAGGGAAACUUACGCUAAUACCGCAUACGACCUACGGGUGAAAGCAGGCGAUCUUCGGACCUUGCGCGAUUGAAUGAGCCGAUCUCGGAUUAGCUAGUUGGCGGGGUAAAGGCACACCUAGGCGACGAUCCGUAGCUGGUCUGAGAGGAUGAUCAGCUAGACUGGAAGUGAGAAACGGCCGAGACACCGACACUGGGAAGCGGUGGGGAAUAUUGGACGAGGGGCGCAAGCCUGAUACAGCCAUACCGCGGAAAUGAAGAAGGACUUAUGGUGGGAGAGUGAUUUAGGUGGGAAAGAAAUGCAGCAGGUUAAUACCCCGCGGUUCUGACAGUACCCAAAGAAUAAGCACCGGCUAGCUUCGUG